UGUAAAAUAAGCUAAAUGUCAAGCUGUUGGGUUCAUACCCCAAAA
rnacentral:tRNA from 1 species